GAUGAACGCUGGCGGCGUGCCUAAUACAUGCAAGUCGAGCGAACAGAUAAGGAGCUUGCUCCUCUGACGUUAGCGGCGGACGGGUGAGUAACACGUGGAUAACCUACCUAUAAGACUGGGAUAACUUCGGGAAACCGGAGCUAAUACCGGAUAAUAUAUUGAACCGCAUGGUUCUAAAGUGAAAGAUGGUUUUGCUAUCACUUAUAGAUGGAUCCGCGCCGUAUUAGCUAGUUGGUAAGGUAACGGCUUACCAAGGCAACGCUAGGUAGCCGACCUGAGAGGGUGAUCGACCAGACUGAGACUGGGACACGGUCCAGACUCCUACGGGAGGCAGCAGUAGGGAAUCUGCCGCAAUGGGCGAAAGCCUAACGGAGCAACGCCGCGUGAGUGAUGAAGGGUUUCGGCUCGUAAAACUCUGUUAUUAGGGAAGAACAAACGUGUAAGUAACUGUGCACGUCUUGACGGUACCUAAUCAGAAAGCCACGGCUAACUACGUG
rnacentral:rRNA from 1 species